rnacentral:rRNA from 1 species
CCUACGGGUGGCAGCAGUGAGGAAUAUUGGUCAAUGGACGAGAGUCUGAACCAGCCAAGUAGCGUGAAGGAUGACUGCCCUAUGGGUGGUAAACUUCUUUUAUAUGGGAAUAAAAUGUUCCACGUGUGGGAGUUUGUAUGUACCAUAUGAAUAAGGAUCGGCUAACUCCGUGCCAGCAGCCGCGGUAAUACGGAGGAUCCGAGCGUUAUCCGGAUUUAUUGGGUUUAAAGGGAGCGUAGGUGGAUUGUUAAGUCCGUUGUGAAAGUUUGCGGCUCAACCGUAAAAUUGCAGUUGAAACUGGCAGUCUUGAGUACAGUAGAGGUGGGCGGAAUUCGUGGUGUAGCGGUGAAAUGCUUAGAUAUCACGAAGAACUCCGAUUGCGAAGGCAGCUCACUGGACUGCAACUGACACUGAGGCUCGAAAGUGUGGGUAUCAAACAGGAUUAGAUACCCUUGUAGUC